rnacentral:lncRNA from 1 species
CAGGAGCUGGAAGCCAAGAGCAUCUAUGAUGUUGGCCAUAGCAUCCUCACCACCAAAAUCUAACACGUUGUGAGACCAAGAAACAUUGAAAUGGAAUAAGGAAAAUACCCAACCCUAUGGAGAAAUCAAGAAAGCAUAUAAAUGAAAUCAACCACUGAGCACUUUACAUAUACAGUGGUAGCAUGUGUCAUGAACUUAAUCUGUUCCACAGUGCUGGGGAAGAUGGCCACAGUCCUGUUCUUUGCCGGAUGCAAAGCUCGUGAAGAGAAGCAAAAUUUUUGAACUGCAUUCUUUGCAAAUAAUUCUUCACACACAGAAGCGUUCAUGAACGAAGGUGUUGCUAUAUUGUAGAGUUGCUGGUGUAGAUUAUUAGUGGAGUGUGUGCUUAGUUUGGAUUUAAUCUGUAGCCCACACAUGGAGCAUUGCAGUUCUCAUGGCUUCUCUGGUGAAGUAAAGGAGAAUGGAAGGUUGUAGGAGGAUCAAGGAGUGUUGUCUGGUUUUCUUUUUAAGAUUGAAUGGGAAAUGCAAACUCUUCGUCACAAAUGCCAGUGGUGGUGGAGCAUACGGAAUGUACACAGCAGAUGUUCCAGGUAGCAAUAUCUUCAAAAUCAUUUAUAAAUCCAGCAACUUCAUGGUGAUUUAUGCAAUCUAUAUGGAGGGGGAACACUCUCUGGAUCACACACGUCUCACUUUGGCACUUGGGACUGGAAGAAGUAUGAGUGAGGAAGAGAGGGAGAAAUAUGAAGAACUCACUGCCUUGUGCAACAUUUCACCGCAAAACAUAAGAUACCUCACCGAAGCAGAUACCUGUCCUGAUUAAGGCCAUAGCGAUGAUGAGGAAGAACCAGGAAUAUUUUUAUCAUCAUCUUCUCCGUGGCAUCAAGAUCAUCAAUGUGAAGAGCAGAUAAGCUCUGUCUUUCCUGAGAUACCAUGAACCCUGCCUAACAGCUUUUCUUCCCAAGCUCACCUAUGUCCUACUUCAUGUUUCUCUUUUUCAUAGUUGAUUAAAUAAACCGAAAUAGGUACACAUGUGUCUCUGAAGAAAGGUACUAAAU